UACGUAGGGUGCAUGCGUUAAUCGGAAUUACUGGGCGUAAAGCGUGCGCAGGCGGUUUGUUAAGACAGGUGUGAAAUCCCCGAGCUCAACUUGGGAAUUGCGCUUGUAACUGGCAAGCUAGAGUGUGGCAGAGGGGGGUGGAAUUCCACGUGUAGCAGUGAAAUGCGUAGAUAUGUGGAGGAACACCGAUGGCGAAGGCAGCUCCCUGGGUUAACACUGACGCUGAUGCACGAAAGCGUGGGGAGCGAACAGG
rnacentral:rRNA from 1 species